rnacentral:rRNA from 1 species
GACAGAGGUGCCGAGCGUUAGGCGGAAUCACUGGGCUUAAAGGGUGCGUAGGCGGGCUAUUAAGUCAGUGGUGAAAGCCUCAAGCUUAACUUGAGAAUUGCCAUUGAUACUGAUGACCUUGAGUACAUUUGAAGUGGGCGGAAUGUGCCAUGUAGCGGUGAAAUGCUUAGAUAUGACACAGAACACCGAUUGCGUAGGCAGCUCACUAAACUGUAACUGACGCUGAGGCACGAAAGCGUGGGGAGCAAACAGG